rnacentral:lncRNA from 1 species
GCAUGAUAUCACAUUCACAUUUCUGGAAAUGCUCGAAUGGCAGAUGCUAGCAUUUCCAGAAAUGUGACACUGAUAGGUUUUUUUGAGACAUAGUUUUGUAAAUGCACUGUGAAUGGGUGAAUAUGUAAAAAAUUUGCAGUUGUAAGUCACUCUCCGGAAAUGAAGGUGGGUGAGAAGGUUCAGAGAUGACCCAGAAGGAUUAUGCAGGCAAACAGGAAGGACUACAAGUGCACACGUGACUGUUGGUUACAACAUUGGCAUCCUGAAUGCUAUAUUGUAAUAUAUCAUCAUCAAACUUUAGCACAAAUAAGAUAUUCCAGCAGAUAUCCUACCAGGUUUCCCCUGUUAACAGCCAGGUACAAAAAAAGUUGCCUGCAGUUUGCCAAGGACAAUUGAACAAUGAAAUAAGGUUGUAUGAGUUGAUGAAUCCAGGUUUUGUUAAUGAAAAAAAGAAUUUUCUAUUGGUGAUAAAAAAAAAAGUGCC